AUCGCUUCUCGGCCUUUUGGCUAAGAUCAAGUGUAGUAUCUGUUCUUAUCAGUUUAAAAAUCAAUGGGAAAAAAUAUCCUCAGGUGAGGAUUAACAAAAGAAAAAAAAUGUGGAUGCCAAGAAGUAUCAUUGCUGGGAGGCCUGCCCUUACUGGCUUUCUCACUGGUCCUAAAAUUCCCAGAUAACUCAUU